CGUAGAUGGGUGAGAAUCCCAUCCGCCGGAGGGGCUAGGGUUCCUCGACGAUGUUCAUCAGUCGAGGGUUAGUCGGUCCUAAGGUUCCCCCUAACAGGAGGAAUCGAAAGGGAAGCAGGUUAAAAUUCCUGCACCAAUUCACAUUUUGUCCAUUUCCUGACACAUCGGGUCCAGUGGAACACUCUUGUCUGAGUGUUGCCUUCAGCAAUAAAUUUGUGGAGUACCGUAAUGGUGAGAAACAAACUAAGCUGUUGGGAGGCGAAGUAUUUCGCUUCUGCUCUAGCCUGGUGUCCGUGAAAAGGGAUCUGGAGUCGUGUGAGUUGUCCGUACCGAGAUCUGACACAGGUGCCCCUAGGUGAGUAGCCUAAGGCGUCGCGGCAGAAUCCGGGCGAGGGAAUUCGGCAAAUUAGCCCCGUACCUUUGGUAUAAGGGGUGCCAGCUCUGUAGAGAGCUGGUCGCAGUGACUAGGGAGCUCCGACUGUUUACUAAAAACACAGGUGGCUGCUAGUCCGUAAGGAUGAGUAUAGCCGCUGAAUCCUGCCCAGUGGCGGUAUCUGAAACCCGGUUACAACCGGACGAAGGACCGCUAAACGGCGGGGGUAACUAUGACCCUCUUAAGGUAGCGUAAUACCUUGUCGCUUAAUUGGCGACUUGCACGAACGGCCUAACGAGAGCUCUACUGUCCCCGCCCGGAGCCCGAUGAAAUUGACUUACUGGCGCACAGUCCAGUACGUCCCAGCCGCAAGCGAAGACCCCGUGGAGCUUUACUGCAACCUGCCGUUGUGGCACGAGUUGUUAUGUGUAGAGUAGCCGGGAGACAUUACACAGGUGCGAGCGCUAGCUCGUCGCCGAGUCACUGAUGAAACACCGUCCUUUUCGAUUCGUCCCACUCACCUCUUCGGAGGAACCCCGGUAGGCGGGCAGUUUGGGUGGGGCGCCACUCCCUCGAAAAUUUAACAAGGGAGCCCAAAGGUCAGCUUAGGUAGGUCAGGAAUCUACCGUUAAGUGCAAGGGCAAAAGCUGGCUUGACGUGGUUUGGCAACACAACAAACCACGAUGCGAAAGCAGGGCCUAGCGAACCAACCAGCGCCGUUAGUAGGUGCGGUUGAUAACAGAAAAGUUACCCCGGGGAUAACUGAGUUGUCUGGAGCAAGAGCCCACAUCGACCUCCAGGCUUGCUACUUCGAUGUCGUCUCUUCCUAUCCUGGGUGUGCAGAAGCACCCAAGGGUGGGGUUGUUCGCCCAUUAAAAGGGAUCGUGAGAUGGGUUUAGACCGUCGUGAGACAGGUUUGUUGCUAUGUGCUGGGACUGUCCAAUACCUGAGGGGAAGGAUCCUCUAGUACGAGAGGAACGAGGGUUCGCAGCCACUAGUUUACCAGUUGUCUGACAAGGCACCGCUGGGCAGCCACGCUGUAAGGGAUAAGAGCUGAAAGCAUCUAAGCUCGAAACCCGCCUCAAAACGAGG
rnacentral:rRNA from 1 species